UACGAAGGGGGCUAGCGUUGCUCGGAAUUACUGGGCGUAAAGCGCACGUAGGCGGGUCGUUAAGUCGGGGGUGAAAUCCUGGAGCUCAACUCCAGAACUGCCCUCGAAACUGGCGAUCUUGAGUUCGGGAGAGGUGAGUGGAACUGCGAGUGUAGAGGUGAAAUUCGUAGAUAUUCGCAAGAACACCAGUGGCGAAGGCGGCUCACUGGCCCGAUACUGACGCUGAGGUGCGAAAGCGUGGGGAGCAAACAGG
rnacentral:rRNA from 2 species